UGUGACUGUAGUCACAGAGUAGGCGUUGCUUGUGAGAAAUAAUUUGAUUGAUAUUGCUGUGUUUGUUUUGCCAACGUUUGUUGCAUUUUUCGGAAUUAUUCUUUACUUGAAACUGUUUGUAAAGUUCUCUCCAGUUUAUCAUUUCUGGUCUGCAGUUUCUUUGCAAUUUGCUGUGUCACUUAGCUAUAAAAGUCAAGUGGUGUUAUUUUUGUUUUCUAAUUGGACUUUUGUAAAUAACCAGCAGAAUUGGAUUGAGUAGAGUUCAGAUCCCCUUUUAAAAAGUUUUAGGAACGUAAAUGGUUCCCUUUGAAGUUGUCCCGUUGCAUGGGUCAGCAUGUUUACAUGCUGAAGACUGGCUUUUUGUGAGUACACAUGGUGCUGUGGUGGAGCAAGAAUUCUGGACUGCAGAAGAUAAUUGAAUGGACCGGAUGGAUGAGGAUCACUGCAUCAUGUCUAGUCUAGCAGGAAUCACUGAGCAAAAACUGCCAGCAUGUAAGCGGAGGUGCCAUGGGAAGCUCUAGAGGCUAAUGUUUUGGUCUCAUUAAAGGUUUUAAUGGUUGCUGGUCAGGCAGACUUCUUUGGAGCUGAGUGAGUGCUUUACCAGAUCAGAGGGUAUGGGUCACCCCUGAAAGGGAAACAGUGCAACUAAGACCUGAAGCAAGCCCUGGAAAGAGACACUUCCGCUUCUGGUGGAAGCGGCUGUUCUAACCAGGCAGAGCAAAGGGAGCCACCAUGCUAAAUCUGGGAAAGGUGGUGGGCUAGAUAAGGGGGCUUUUCUUAACGCUUCAGCUGUGUGUGCAAAUAUCUGAUUUUGCAAGUAAUGAAUCAUGGCUUGAGAAGGCUGUUGUCCCUGUAAACCUCUGUUGGCUCCGGAACACUUAUCCUAGAAAGCCUGCUGUGAUGCCCAGAUUGAUUAGGACCUCACGAAGGGCCAUGGUGAGAAACUAGUGCUAAUGCCGAGGACUCAGGGUUGGAAAGAUGGAGCCUGUGGCUAAGUAGAUGCACUGCUAGAUAGACUGCCAUAAGAUUGGGAAGCUCAGUGUGAGAUACUGCUGCCAGGCCUGUGUCAGUUCUGGCUUCCAGGUUUGCAUGUGUAUGUUUUUCUCAGUACUCUUCAUCAAGGAUCUGAGUUCCCCAGAAAUGCAAUGAUAAAAUACUUUGCAACUCCAGUGGAUACCCUGCUCCAUGGAAAGUUCACUGUUCAUCCUUUAGCAGUAGCUGACAU
rnacentral:lncRNA from 1 species